rnacentral:lncRNA from 1 species
UGCAACUGUUUACAGGAUUCUCCUCGUCCAGCUUGUGUGGAGGGCCCGUUGACGCCCCGCGUAUCCAGUCGGAAGAAACACAUCAGAUCGAGAGGGGCAGCCGGCCGUGUUUCGGCGAAAGGGAUUCGGAUCUACGGUCGCACAGGGGUUCCAAAACCUCUCUCUGGGCCGGGGAAUGAGGGCAAAAACAGCGAGUCACGGCCGGUUUUAAACUCGCGGCGAGAGCCUCGCCCGGGGGAGUUCCAGAGCCACACGCCCGACACAACGCCGGAAGAAACGCUUUCUCGGCAGGAGAACACGCGCGGAGCUCGGGAAUGUGAGAGACACGCACUUGUUUCUCUCGCGGCGCUUUGUGUGACCGAGGCUCUGGGGGUGGCACCAGUCUCCAAGCGAGAGAACGCGGGUUUACGGCGAAUGGUGCGGUAUACACAGUCCCAGCGUCGGGGCUCGGUGACGCCCCCAAGGCACUGCUCCGUUGUUGGGAUCGGUGGAAUCAGAAAACUCGGUCGAGAGAGGCGUCUGAAUCCGCAUAGAUUCAUCGCCUUUACGGGACCUCUCGUCUCUAGAGCUGUCGGGGACAGCAAUGCCCGGAAAAAUCCCUUCGGUGCAUUCGCUCGUCUCGCCACUCCGGGGUGCGUGAAACAAGUCGUGUCAAAAAAAAAACAGGCGGGCUAGAGAAUUUCAAAUCUCCACCAACGAGCCUGGCUUCUUAGGCAGCGUAGCGCCUCGUGCCGAACCUUUUUCGAGAGUGCAGCCGCAAAUGCACUUUCAGAGCAAAGCACUCGCGAAUGAAACCAAAAACGCCGGCAGCUUCGGUGUCGCGCACAGGCAGUCUAUGAGAACGGGAUCUGUUUUCACGUGGGCACGCGAAGCCAGAAAGAAAAUGACUUCCCGUUGGUACGGGGCCUUGGCGGCAUAGCCGCUCAGCGACCAGGCUCGUGGGAGGCGUCGAUGAAGCCUGCAGAAAAAAAACCCUUUCACACUUCCUCCACCCUAGGAGGGUCAACCUCGGUGUGCGUGGGUGUGUGAUUUUUGCUUUCCGAAACAACUCUGCCGAAACAAAUCUGCAGACUUGAAGGCGAA